rnacentral:rRNA from 1 species
AGAGUUUGAUCCUGGCUCAGAAUCAACGCUGGCGGCGUGCCUAACACAUGCAAGUCGAACGCGAAAACGGCUUCGGCCGUAAGUAGAGUGGCAAACGGGUGAGUAACGCGUGGGUGACCUAUCUUCGAGUGGGGGAUAACGUUUCGAAAGGAACGCUAAUACCGCAUAACAUCCCGUCUUUGGAAAGAUGGUGAUCAAAGCUGGGGAUCGUAAGACCUGGCACUUGAUGAGGGGCCCGCGUCCGAUUAGCUUGUUGGUGGGGUAAUGGCCUACCAAGGCGACAAUCGGUAUCCGGCCUAAGAGGGCGGACGGACACACUGGGACUGAGACACGGCCCAGACUCCUACGGGGGGCAGCAGUGGGGAAUUGUUCGCAAUGGACGAAAGUCUGACGACGCAACGCCGCGUGGAGGACGAAGACCUUCGGGUCGUAAACUCCUGUCGAGUGGGACGAAAACCACCCGGGUAAAUACCCCGGGAGGCUGACGGUACCAUUAAAGGAAGCCCCGGCUAACUUCGUGCCGGCAGCCGCGGUAAUACGAGGGGGGCAAGCGUUGUCCGGAAUCAUUGGGCGUGAAGGGUUCGUAGGCGGACUGAUUAGUUGGAAUUGAAAGACCACGGCUUAACCGGGGGAACGGUUUCAAUACUGUCAGUCUUGAGUGAGGUAGAGGUAAGCGGAAUUCCUGGUGUAGCGGUGAAAUGCGUAGAUAUCAGGAGGAACAUCAAAGGCGAAGGCAGCUUACUGGGCCUAUACUGACGCUGAGGAACGAAAGCGUGGGGAGCAAACAGGAUUAGAGACCCUGGUAGUCCACGCCGUAAACGAUGAGUACUUAGUGAUGGGGGAUUCGACCCCUCCAUUGCUGGAGCUAACGCAUUAAGUACUCCGCCUGGGAACUACGACCGCAAGGUUGAAACUCAAAGGAAUUGACGGGGACCCGCACAAGCGGUGGAUCAUGUGGUUUAAUUCGAUGCAACGCGAAGAACCUUACCUAGGCUUGGCAUGUUAGUGAAAACUCUGUGAAAGCAGAGCUCUCUGCGAGCUUGCUCAAAGACACUAUCACAGGUGAUGCAUGGCUGUCGUCAGCUCGUGUCGUGAGAUGUUCGGUUAAGUCCGAUAACGAGCGCAACCCCUAUUCUUAGUUGCCAGCACGUAAUGGUGGGGACUCUAAGGAAACUGCCCGGGAUAACCGGAAGGAAGGUGGGGUCGACGUCAAGUCAGUAUGUCCCUUACGCCUAGGGCUACACACGUGAUACAAUGGGAAGUACAAAGGGUCGCAAUGCCGCGAGGUGGAGCCAAUCCCAAAAAACUUCCCCAAGUUCAGAUUGCAGUCUGCAACUCGACUGCAUGAAGCAGGAAUCGCUAGUAAUCGUGGAUCAGAACGCCACGGUGAAUACGUUCCCGGGUCUUGUACACACCGCCCGUCACGCCAUGGAAGCCGGUAGUGCCCAACGCCAGUGGCCCAACCUUCGGGAGGGAGCUGUCUAAGGUAAGAUCGGUAACUGGGGCGAAGUCGUAACAAGGUAACC